rnacentral:lncRNA from 1 species
GUACAUCCACACACCCAUUCCCACAACACACCACCCCUUAUCUACAUAUACCACCCAUUCACAGAAAGAAAAAGAAAAAAAUCAGCAACCCAAAAAUCCCACAAACCAAAGCAAACUACUCCAAAAACAACACCAGCAACACAAAGAAAAUGAAGAAGAAAAAACCCAGAAAGAUUACCAAAAAAUACACGCACCCAUCUGCAUAAAAAAGAAAAAAGAAAAAUCCCCCUCCCAUUAUAUAUUUUUUUCACUCACAAACAAAGGUUGAGUUUGAAGUUUACUUUCGUGGUUUCGAGUUCGUGGUUCCCUAUUAGGAUUGCUUUCUUUUAGUAAAUUGAUUGUCGCAAGAGGUACCAUUUAACAUUUAUUUUAUAAUUUGAUUUUCAUGAUUAUAUAAUACUUGAUUAUAAUGUUAUGAAGUUGCUCAAAUUUAGAUGUGUUAAUUUUGACACAAUAAUAUUGAAAUAUUUCCUAUUUAAGCUAUUGUACAUUUUAUUUUUUUUGUAUCAUAUGUUGUUAUCAAUUAAGUACCUCUUGUGUCCAAUCCAAAAUCAAUUAAAUGUCUAAAAGAAUUAUUCUAAUAGUUUGGUUUAAGACUAAUAAAAAUUCAACAAUUAAAAAAUAAACAAAUUUUGGCAUAUAGACACAAAUUAUUCAAAAACAUAUUAAAAUAAGUAUAAGUCAAUAAAAGCGACCGUGCUAGAACCACGGGACUCGAGGGAUGCUUAAUACCUUCCCCUCGGUCAACAUAAUUUCUUACCCGAAUUUCUAGUUCGUAGACAAAAACUAAAAGAGUCAUUUCCUAUUGAUUAGGGAUUCGAAAAGGUGACUUGGAACAGCACAACUCAAUUCCAAGUGGCGACUUUGAAAAAAUUAAAACAAUCCCUAUUCAAUACCGUCACUUAAAUUGGAAAAAUCCUUCGGCCGUGCGCGAAAAGGGGUGUGACAUCUCUGGCGACUCCGCUGGGGACUAAUCAGAAUUCGAGCUUUGUUAUAUUGACUUUUACUUGAUUUUAUUAUUUUAUUUAUUGGAUAUAUUGUGUUUGAUGGCUAAUUUGCUACUUGCUACUCAUUUAUUGCUUUUUAUAUUUAUAUUGUUGAACUAUACUAAAUUAUUUUCUCUUACGCACACCUUAUGAGUCUUUCAAUACACAUAACACACGUUCACAGGAAUGCAGUUAUGCAUCAUAUUUUCCCUUGAGAUAAAGCUGGAGUGUCUUGACACCUAGUGAAGGAUAUUUAGUUGUCUAUGUUAGGCGGGAUUGGACCAUCAAUGAAGUCGAAAUAGCGCUGCUACCGAUAAGUUGCCCCUCGCUGGCUCGAGUUGUCUACUCGGGUAAGCCAGUCUAGAUACUUAUCUUAUUCAGGUUUGAACUUAGUAAAACUAAAACAUAGACAUGGUUAUCUCUAGAAGACUUCGAUUAUUUGUAUCAUUUUCAUGUGACUUAGUGAGCCUCAAAAUAAGAGUUGGGUCCGUCCAGGACAAGUAUCCCUCUCUUACUUGACCACUUAGCUCAUUUUAUGUGCUACAUGAAAAUACAUUUAUUUGAAAGUCUCUAUAAGUUGACGCAUUUUAGUAUGACUAAUGCAAUGAAUUUUUUUUUAUCUAUUGAUCUUAUUUAAAAAAAAAAAAGAGGAGAAAACACGAAAAUAUUUUUUCUUUUAGAAGUUAUUAUACAUUUCUUAAAAUAAAAUAAAAUUUUUGCAUUACUUAAUGAAAAGAAUAAUAAUAUUUUUAUUUAGAGUUUUUUCAUAAAGUUUGUAAAAAGAAAAUUCAAAAUAUUUUACUUUUAUAAUACUUUGAAAAGUUACAUUUGUCAAAAUCAAAAAAAUAAAUAAAUUAAUAUCUUAAAAGUUUUUUUUUACUGUCCAAUCUGGACGAACUACGCACACCUGAUUCUCACCUCAAUGAGAUACGUAGGCAACCCUCUUUGGGUUCGGUGAUCUUUAUUCAAAAAUAAAAGAAAAAUAAAAUCUUUUUUCAAAAGUUAAAAAAAAAAUGAAAAACAAGAAGCUUUAAUCUUUAUCAAAAAAAAGUUUUUAUUAAUUUUCUUUGAAUAAUUCAAAUAAAAAAAACUGAAGAAUUUUAUCUCAAAGCUCUAAAAAAGAAAACCUUAGUUAUUGAGUUUUUGAAAAAAUAUGCAAAGAUUUUAGUCAUGUUCGCAAGCGUGUUACAUACGCAAUCUCAAAUGAAUUUGAUCAAUGCAUUAUUAAAUCAUUUUUUUAAAAAAACUUAUAACUAAAGAAGGUCUAACCCUAACAAAUAUUAUUAUCUAUGCAUAGUUAAAUUAAGGUGGUUGAUUUGUGGUUAAGCUGGCAUCACAUCCUUAUAAUACAAGGUCAAAAGGGAAAAGAAAAUGACUCACAAAGACGGAAAUGAGUCGGACAAUGAUGAGGUCCAGAACCAGAUGAUGUCACAAGAAACAGUGUCAGCCGAAGAGAUAAGGAUACUAAGACAGCAAAUGACGGAGAUGUACGAAGCUUGGAUGAGUGAACAAGUUCCACCGCCUUCAAUCCGUGACUAUCUAAAUACAAAUAUGUCACCCCCUGUCCAAGUAUCGAUAAGUGAUCCAAUUUAUCCACUUGGAUUUGGUCCCGCAUCCAACGUAGCUGGAACUUCUACGGUGCGCCCUUUGAGUACGCCUAUGACAAGUAAUCCACUAUUUAUUCCAAUUGCGCCGACUAAUGUCGCUCAACAACCUAUAAUGGAGCCAAAAUCCAACAACGAUCCUCUACCCAAAGUUCAAUAUGAUCGAGAUUAUACUCCUGAAUUGACUUUUAAAAAUUCCAAGCUCUUACCCCCACACUCAUCAGUAUAGUUUCCCAUGUUGAGGCUGAAAAAGCUGUUAAGAACGAUGAACAUGAAGAAAUGGCUAGAAAAAUGAAGAGUUUGAAACAGAGUGUAAGAGAUAUGCAAGGAUUGGGAGGUCACAAAAGUAUUUCAUUCAAUGAUUUGUGCAUGUUUUCCCACGUUCAUCUACCCAUCGGUUUUAAAACUCCAAAGUUUGAAAAAUAUGAUGGACAUGGAGAUCCUGUAGCUCAUUUAAAGAGAUAUUAUAAUCAACUGAGAGGGGCUGGAAGCAAAGAAGAAUUGCUCAUGGCUUAUUUUGGGGAAAGUUUGAUGGGAAUCGCCUCAGAAUGGUCCAUAGAUCAAGAUACUUCUAACUGGCAUACAUGGGAUGAUUUGGCUCGAUGCUUUGUUCAACAAUUUCAAUAUAACAUUGACAUAGUUCCUGAUCGUACUUCACUUGUCAACAUGAGGAAGAAGACCACCGAAAAUUUUCGUGAAUAUGCUAUUAGGUGGAGGGAGUAAGCUGCUAGGGUUAAGCUGUCAAUGAAAGAGUCUGAAAUUAUUGAUGUUUUCCUUCAAGCGCAGGAACCAGAUUACUUUCAUUAUUUACUUUCCGUUGUUGGAAAAACAUUCGCUGAAGUUAUUAAGAUUGGUGAAAUGGUGGAAAAUGGCAUCAAAGUCUAGAAAAAUUGUAAGUCAAGCUGCCUUGAAAGCUACAACACAAGUGAUUAAAAAUGGAUCAGGAAAUCUUAGGGGAAAGAAAUAAGGGAUGAUGUAGUAAAUGUUGUGUCAGACACACAAAAAGGGUCCAAGGGGUUCAGUUUAUCAAUAUGCACCACCUCAAUUUCAUCACUAUCUCCCCCAUGCAAGAUACACAAUACUCUAUUGUCCCACCUCAAUAUGCAGUCUAUGGUGCACAACCAUAUGCAUACCCACCAAACUAUCCUCAACGGAGAGCACAAACAAAUCAAAAUGUUCGUCCUUCUCCUCAAAAUUUUCGAGCACCUUAUAAUCCCCAUCCAAGACAGGGAUUUGAGGGAGGUCAAAUACCUAUGAACAAUUUCACACCAAUUGGAGAGUCUUACACAAGUGUAUUUGAGAAAUUGAAACGUUUGAAUAUGAUAGAGCCAAUUCCUCAAAAUUACGUGGAUCCACAUGCAAAAGGUUUCAAUCCUACAAUACGGUGUGCAUACCAUUCGGAUGCUCCAAGGCACAAUACUGAAGAUUGUCGAAAUUUAAGAAGAAAGGUGGAAGAGAUGAUUCAAACAAAGAUGAUUGUGGUUCAAAAUAAUGACCCCCCAAAUGUUACUAAGAAUCCUCUACCGGCGCAUAAAUGAUGUACACUUCAUCGAAAUGAUAUGUGAUGACAAAGAAUAUGACAAUUCUCUCAAUUCUCAGGAAAAGACAAUUGAAAUUGUUGGAGCUUUCACGAAGGCUAGCGUGCAAAGUAGUGGCUAAGAAGUCAAGCUUGGUGAUUGGGAUACACUUUUUUUUUCUCUAAAAAAGAGUGUAUGGAUAGUUUAUUUUGUCAUCAUUUCUGCUAUGCAAUUCUUUUUAUUUUUAUUUUAGUAAGUCAGACCUUUCUAUCAUUUCUCUUAUGUGUUUGUUUGUUGAGUCUUGUCGUAGUUUGGGUUAUUAUAGAGUUGUAACCUAAAAUUUAGUUUGUUGUCUUGUCAUCAAGUAAUUUUUUAUCUUAAUAUAAUCUUUAUUNNNNNNNNNNNNNNNNNNNNNNNNNNNNNNNNNNNNNNNNNNNNNNNNNNNNNNNNNNNNNNNNNNNNNNNNNNNNNNNNNNNNNNNNNNNNNNNNNNNNNNNNNNNNNNNNNNNNNNNNNNNNNNNNNNNNNNNNNNNNNNNNNNNNNNNNNNNNNNNNNNNNNNNNNNNNNNNNNNNNNNNNNNNNNNNNNNNNCCCUUUUGAGCCUUAAUUUUAUUUUCUUUCAUACCCCUCUUUUGGAAUCAAAAUAUAGUCAAAAAGAAAAAAAAAAAAGAGUCACAAAUUCAAAAAAAUGGAAAAAAGAGUCACAACUUCAAGAAAAAAAAAAUAUAAAAUAUAUAGAAGUCACAAAAAAGAGUCAAGGAAAAAAAAAGUGAAAAAAAGGGUUGAAAAAAUCAAUAACAACAAAAGAACAAACUUCCUGAACUACGUUCGACUUGAUUCUUGCUUUGACAAGAUACGUAGGCAGCCUUAUUCUGAGGUUCGGUCCAACCAAGUAAAAUCUCUAAGAUCAUCAUCACAAAAACUGGGGCAAUUAUUAUUAUUAUUAUUAUUUUGAUUUUGUUUAUUUGUUUAUUUAGAGUCGAUUCCAAAAGUCGUAAGUCUUAACUGUCUUAUAAGUAUUAUAUCUGAGCUUUCACCGUUUCUUUGUAACCCUGUCCAAAAGCCACGUUACAAUCCAAAUAAAUACCUUCUGAUCAUUUUUUAACAAUGACAAGUCAGGCAAGCUUUCAGUGUUGAUUAUCAUAUGAGGAAAAAUGUCACGUCCCUCGCAUAAGGAGCGAAAAAUGAGGGAAUUUUAUCGAUGAAAAUUCUCGAAAGCACUAUAAGACAUCAUUUGUGUUGAGAGAAAGUGAAAAAUGAGAGAGUCUUAUUGGUGAAAACCCUUAAGACACUAUAAGACGAUGUGAGUGAGAGACAUACAAAAUGAGAGAGGUUAUUGGUGGAAAACCUUUCGAGGCACCACAAGUCGAAUGUGAAGUAUGAAUCUAGUGCAAAAGUUGGAUUAUAAAAGUCUGACUUCAGAAGGUUCAAAGUUUGACAAAGAUAAAGUUUAGAUUUAUUGGACAAAUCAAGCCAUUUAAUCUCGCAUGCAUGUCAUGAUCAUUAGAAUUGACCAUCACUCUCAAAGGAGUUUCUUUUUAUUUUCUAUUUUUUUUCUUCUUAAAGGUCAAUUUUUAUUUUUUACUUUCCUUCUUCUUAUUUUGUAUCGCAAAAUUUGGUUUCAUUUUUUCCCUUGGAUUAGUCUUUAUUAAAGCAAGCAGAAAAUGAUUUCAAAAUUACUACCAUAUUUUCAAUUGUACAAAGCAAAGUUUGGUCAGCACCUCAAAUGUGACAUGAUUCAAAAAAUAUUGAUAUGCAUAGUAACUUGCCAAUAAUUGACAAAUUUUGAGAAUUUAUAUGAAUACAAGAUUCAAUGAUUGUUGGAGGGUGGAAACAAUAUAACAAGUAUGAAGUUGGAACUUUUGAACAACUAGAGAUAUUUUCAAGAUUAUCAAGGUGAGCUGACUAGCAAACUAAAGCAGUUUAUCUCAAAGCUAAAAUUAGCUUCAAACAUGGCAACAAUAGGAGAAGCUAUCCUCAAAGUCAAAUGCCACAAACCGACUGCCAUUUAAAAAUAAAAUAAAAUAAAAAAAAUGAAAGACUCAAAUUUGUGAACAUUAUUGCAAAAAUAAAAUAAAAAAUUACAUGCAUUUUUUCUCUUAGGAAAAACAUUUCCUAGAUUGAGACAUUUAUUUCUGAUUUUCUCCUAGGAUAAACACUUUCUUGUCCUAGACCGUUAUUAGUAUUAUUAUUUUUUUAUUUUAUUUUCUGUAUCCUAGAAUAAACACUUUCUAGUUUGAGGCAGUUAUUUUUCAUUUUUUCUUUUAGGAUAAACAUUUUCUAAUCUAAAAAAUUAAAAAAUGUUAUGGUAAUUGUAUUUGAUGAUUCAGUUUAGCAUGACCCUCCUAAACAAUGGGAAUUAGCAUAGCAGGACCCUCCUAAACAAUGAGAAUUAGCGUAAUAGGACCCUCCUAACCAAUGAGAAUUAGCGUAGCAGGACCCUCAUAAACAAUGGGAAGUAGCGUAGCAGGAUCCUCCUAAACAAUGGAAAUUAGAGUAGCAGGACCCUUCUAAACAAUGAGAACUAGAGUAGCAGGACCCUCCUAAACAAUGGAAAUUAGUGUAGCAGGACAGUAGCAGGACCCUCCUAAACAAUGAGAAUUAGAGUAGCAGGACCCUCCUAAACAAUGAGAAUUAGAGUAGCAGGACCCUCCUAAACAAUGAGAAUUAGAGUAGCAGGACCCUCCUAAACAAUGAGAAUUAGAGUAGCAGGACCCUCCUAAACAAUGAGAAUUAGAGUAGCAGGACCCUCCUAAACAAUGAGAAUUAGAGUAGCAGGACCCUCCUAAACAAUGAGAAUUAGAGUAGCAGGACCCUCCUAAACAAUGGGAAUUAGUGUAGCAGGACCCUCCUAUACAAUGGGAAUUAAAGUAGCAGGACCUUCCUAAACAAUGGAAAUUAGAGUAGCAGGACCCUCCUAAACAAUGAGAACUAGAGUAGCAGGACCCUCCUAAACAAUGGGAACUAGAGUAGCAGGACCCUCCUAAACAAUGGGAACUAGAGUAGCAGGACCCUCCUAAACAAUGGGAACUAGAGUAGCAGGACCCUCCUAAACAAUGGGAACUAGAGUAGCAGGACCCUCCUAAACAAUGGGAACUAGAGUAGCAGGACCCUCCUAAACAAUGGGAACUAGAGUAGCAGGACCCUCCUAAACAAUGGGAAUAGUGUAGUAUGACCUUCCUAAGCAAUGAGAUUUAGAUUAGCAGGACCCUCCUGGACAAUGGGAUUAGUAGGACCAUCCUACAUAAUGGGAUUUGGUUAUUUUCUCCUAUGAUAAGCACUUCCUAGUCUGAUUUUAUUUUUAUUUUUAAAUUAUUUGCUAAUAACUCACAAAAUUUUUCCAGUGAAAACUGGGGCAAAUUUUUUUGUGUAUUUCUUUUGUUUGUCUUUCAGGUUUCUUCGAGCGAAACAUGAAUUUGAAAUUCAGGAAUAAAGUUUCAACUCUUUUCAGAAUGAUCAAUCCCAUGAU